GAUGAACGCUGGCGGCGUGCCCAACACAUGCAAGUCGAGCGAUUCUCUUCGGAGAAGAGCGGCGGACGGGUGAGUAACGCGUGGGUAACCUGCCCUGUACACACGGAUAACAUACCGAAAGGUAUGCUAAUACGAGAUAAUAUACUUUUAUCGCAUGGUAGAAGUAUCAAAGCUUUUGCGGUACAGGAUGGAACCGCGUCUGAUUAGCUAGUUGGUAAGGUAACGGCUUACCAAGGCGACGAUCAGUAGCCGACCUGAGAGGGUGAUCGGCCACAUUGGAACUGAGACACGGUCCAAACUCCUACGGGAGGCAGCAGUGGGGAAUAUUGCACAAUGGGCGAAAGCCUGAUGCAGCAGCGCCGCGUGAGCGAUGAAGGCCUUCGGGUCGUAAAGCUCUGUCCUCAAGGAAGAUAAUGACGGUACUUGAGGAGGAAGCCCCGGCUAACUACGUGCCAGCCGCCGCGGUAA
rnacentral:rRNA from 1 species